rnacentral:rRNA from 1 species
CUACGGGGCGCACCAGUGGGGAAUAUUGCACAAUGGGCGAAAGCCUGAUGCAGCGACGCCGUGUGAGCGAUGAAGGUUUUCGGAUCGUAAAGCUCUGUCAGAGGGGGCGAAACAUAAGCGGGAACAAUACCCCGUUUACUUGACGGUACCCUCAGAGGAAGCACCGGCUAACUCCGUGCCAGCGAGCCGCGGUAAUACGGAGGGUGCUAGCGUUGUUCGGAAUCACUGGGCGUAAAGCGCCCGUAGGUGGCCUAUGUAGUCUGGUGUGAAAUCCCUCGGCUCAACCGGGGAAGUGCGCUGGAAACCAGUAGGCUAGAGUUCGGUAGGGGAUCGUGGAAUUCCUGGUGUAGCGGUGAAAUGCGUAGAUAUCAGGAAGAACACCGGUGGCGAAGGCGACGAUCUAAGCCGAUACUGACACUUAGGGGCGAAAGCGUGGGGAUCAAACAGGAUUAGAUACCCGGGUAGUC